UACGUAGGGGGCGAGCGUUGUCCGGAUUUAUUGGGCGUAAAGAGCUCGUAGGCGGCUUGGCAAGUCGGGUGUGAAACCUCCAGGCUCAACCUGGAGACGCCACUCGAUACUGCCAUGGCUAGAGUCCGGUAGGGGACCACGGAAUUCCUGGUGUAGCGGUGAAAUGCGCAGAUAUCAGGAGGAACACCAGCGGCGAAGGCGGCGCUCUGGGCCGGAACUGACGCUGAGGAGCGAAAGCGUGGGUAGCAAACAGG
rnacentral:rRNA from 1 species